GCACAGUUAAGAGAGAGCGGGGGGAAGGGAAUAGGGAGAAUCGGGAAGAAAGAGAGAUAGAAAGCUGCUGGGGGUUGCGGCGGCGCCAUGGCAGCCCCACGGUGGUGUCACGCGUAAGGGAUCUCCGGCAGAGCUCCGAUGUACCGCUUGUCGGUGGAGAAAUACCCCGAUAAUCGAAUGCUUGGUACCCGUGAACUUGUGAAUGGAAAGGUAUAUUGGUGCUUGUUAUGGAACAUACUGAACUCCUUAAGUACUUCUUGUGUUUGACUAUUUGUUGACAAUAUUUAUAUGCAUUUUGUUGGGUCUACAACAUGGACCGUAUGUAUGGUUGACUUACAAGCAAGUGUAUGACAAGGUGAUACAGGUUGGAAAUGCUAUCCGUGCAUGUGGUGUCGAGCCGGUGAGUGAAUUAUUCUGUUGUUGACUCUUCGUUGUAUGUUAAGCUAAAUUUCGACAAAAAUAGACAUGUUGAU
rnacentral:lncRNA from 1 species